GCUGAUAUGGCUCAGUUGGUAGAGCGCACCCUUGGUAAGGGUGAGGUCCCCAGUUCGACUCUGGGUAUCAGAACCA
rnacentral:tRNA from 1 species